rnacentral:lncRNA from 10 species
GAUUAACUUAGUCCUUUUUCUUGGUCAAGAGUCAGUAGACAGGACUGAAGCUUAUGCCCCUUGCCCCCCCACCACCACUCCAUUACUACCACCUUGGUUUAGCCAUCCUUUCUUGAUCUGUUCUCCCCACUUCUACUGUGCUACUCUACAGACUUGCCCUGAAUGUAAGAGCAACAAUUACCUUGUAAAGUCCAAGUUGGGGCAGGUCACUCCCAAACUCCACACCUCCAGUCACUGCAGAGUUGAGAAGCCUGGGGCUGGGAACUAUGGAAUCAUUUCCUUUCUCACUUCAACCCCUACUCCUCUACUCACUGCCCAUUCUGCUCCAGCCACACUGGCCUCUUGCUGGUGUUCACGUACAUCAAGCAUACACCAAAGGCCUUAACUGCCACCUUCCCUGUGGAGGCCCUAGACCAUCAUAUCCAUCUGCCAAUUCUAUUGUCUUUUCUGCUUUGUUUUUAUCUUACAGACUUAUCACCAUCUGAUAAAUUUAAUUGUUGACUUAUUGUCUAUCUCCCCACACUAGAAUGUAAACUCCAUGAAGGCAGGGGUGUCUUUUUGUUCACUAUAUCCCCUAGUGCUUAAAACAAUGCCUGGCAUGUAGUUAGCGUACAAUUAAUAUACGUAAAUGCAUGUAUAUAUAAAAUCUCAACUUUUCCCCCAACACACUAAAUUUUAUAGAAACACUAGUAGAUAGCUCUCCAUGACAAUGCAGUGAAGAACAUCUCAAAACGUCCUCCUAGGUUGUGGUCCAGGGCUCAAGAUUUGCUUCACCAAAUUUGUCUAAAUUAGAAACAGCUUAUCCAUUUGAUACUGACCUUCUGCAAAUUUAUUUUCCAGCUCAGUGUUUCCAAUGGCUUUUGCUGCUUGACACAUUUGUCGAAGCAAUUCUUCCAGGCGCCUCAUACAACGAAUUAUGCUGCCUGGAUAGAAAAGGAACAAAACACUGGUAAAAUGGAAAUAAUCAGGAACAGCAGAAUUUUUGUUAAGAGGCAAGGCAGGAGAACACACGAUAAUUAAUAGUACUUUGAGGGACUUCCCAUGAAGUAAAUCAUGGUUAGGUACUGGAGAAAGCUACAAAGAUGAAAGGCUUAACUCCCACCUUUGACUAAUGGUAGAGACACCUGUUUAUUACUAACAUGCUGACACUUGGUAUUAAGUAGGAAAACAAAAUGCCCUAGAAGGAGGGAGCAACUUUGGGUGAAGGCUGCAAAGAUGACAUAAUCUGUGUCUGUAAGAACCAGGCAGUAUCUCUCAGGCAGCAGCAACAAGGGAAGGACCACCACGACAAUGCAGAAAAGCCUGGCAAACUGCAGCUAUUCAAGGACCCUGAGUGUGGCCUAGUGAGGCAUCUGGACACCAUCCAUACCAUCUCAUAGAAUGCAACAGACUGUUUUUAGCAGGAGAGUAACAAGAUAAAACUUGUCAUUUUAAAGGUGCAUUCAUUCUUCUUGACCUUAGAUUCUUUCAUUAGUACGUUCUUUACACAGUGUUCUCAAGGAGCACAAGGAAAGAAGCCUUUUCCCAUGGGUCUAGAAUCUGUUUGAGAAAAGUGUUUGUAUCAAAGCUGAAGCUAUAAACAUAGUUUCACUUUUGCUAGACUUGUGCAAAGAGGAGCAGAGAUUGUGAGAUCCUUUCUCUAAGUGCUACCUGCCUAAAUCUAAAACGCUUGACUUCAUUUUUAAUAUAUGAAAUACAUUAGGAAUACCAGUUCUCAAAAUGCAGUCUGUAGGAACAAUGAACUAUUUACACUAUUAACAAUUAUUAAAUUAAUAAUAAUUAUUUGUUAUUUCUAUUCUCAGCUGCUAGGAAUGCAGGCUCCAAUACUGCCUUGCAAUGAAACAGGAAAUCCAACUGCAGAAACUUCUGGGUGUCAAGAGAGAGGGUAGGAAUUGGGAUAGAGAGGGUAAUGUCAUAUUACCUAUGCAAUCAGAUAUUAAAUGUUUAUGCAAACAAGUAUAUCCAAAGAUAAUUAAAUUAGGUAGUGGCUCAAAAUGUAACUAGAUUUUUACCUGAGACCAGAUUCUCACAGGUCAUUUAGGAUUGAAAUGAAAUCCUUUACAAAGUCCUCUGCUGCACAGGGCAUUAAAGAGCCAGACACAUUCUCAAACAUUGUUUUGACUGACUUCAAAUGUGUACCAAGAAACACAAUGUGAUAUUAUUAUUUCACAAAUUUUAGUAACUCGUGUUAACCAGAAUCUGUGAAAGUUAUCAGAGACCAAACCAUACGAAGUAAAUUACUAAGAUAAAGAAUAAACUAAGGCAAGUAAAUGCA